GUCUCAGUGGCUUGAAUGUUGGACUAUGACUCUGAAGACUAGGGUUCGAAUCCCCACUGGGCCA